UACAGAGGUGGCAAGCGUUGUUCGGAAUUACUGGGCGUAAAGGGCGCGUAGGCGGUCUUGUAAGUCCUGUGUGAAAUCCCCCGGCUCAACCGAGGAACUGCACAGGAAACUGUGAGACUUGAGUUCGGGAGAGGGAAGCGGAAUUCCGGGUGUAGCGGUGAAAUGCGUAGAUAUCCGGAGGAACACCGGUGGCGAAGGCGGCUUCCUGGACCGACACUGACGCUGAGGCGCGAAAGCCAGGGGAGCAAACGGG
rnacentral:rRNA from 1 species